ACGAAAACGCCUUGACGUGGUUUCUUCUACCCGAGCGCCCUCGCCUCUUCCAAACCACGGUGCAGUGCUACAGAGUCUCCAAGAUUCUCUCUCUCUCUUCUCUGAGGUUUUGUAGGAGGAGUUAUGGCUUUGUCUACUCCAGGGGUCCCGGAACGAAGAGUAAUACCGGGUGCUGAAUUCGUUGAAGACGUUCAGACCUGUCUCAAUGUCAACUCCGCCCUCGCUUUCCUCCAAGAAAGGUCACCCUACUUUAAUUUCAAUCUCUCUCUCUCCUUCUCUCUCACACCACACUAAUAAUUUCGUUUCUUCUUUCUUUCUUUUGUUUUUCUUUUUCUUUUUAAAUUUACCUUGCGAGUGACGGAAUAGUACUCGACCUAUAUGAAACCUUAAAAAUCUGUUGAGUCCUGUUAUUUUAUUUUAUUCUGUUUCUUUCCACAAGUUGUAAUCUGUUGUUUCUUCAAAUGUAUGCAAUGCACUAAUCUCUUACAGACUACAGCAGUAUAAGUUGGUUGAGAUGAGACUUCUCGCUCAGCAAAGGGAUAUUCAGGUGUUUUUGUUGAAUCUCCUUCGUUCUACAUUGUCUAGCAUGCGUUUUACACUGUUUUUAGUUUUUUCUUCAAAUGAUAUGAGGACUCGCAUUCGACUUGACUUGUUGAGUUCCAUGUUUUCAUUUUCUUUUAGUUAUUGUUUACUGUUAAAAUGGAAGAGUAUUCACUUGCCUAUGUUAACCUUAAUGGUGCAUUUGUGCUAAAUAACUUGAGUUUAUUUCUUGUCCACCAUUUAUUGCGUAUUGCUACAGAAAUUCUGGAUUCACCUCUCUAGAUUAGGACCUUCUUGAGUUAAGGGAACUGCACCGUGGAGCCAUAUAUUUAAUUGGAUAGUCGAUCGCGUCAUCUCAUUAUUGUCCACAUCUAGAGGAUCUGUUAACUUUCUUUUUUCGAAAAUAAAAAUAAAAAUCUCACGAAUUUGUAUGGUAAAGUGAUAAUGUGAACUUUUAAAUGAGAAUAAUGGUUAGAAUUUUAAGAAUCUUCCAAAGAUUCUGAUUUGCGGAUUCUGGUUUUAUUGAUCUUUUCCAAUAGACAUGGAAAUCUUUCUAACCUCUCACUAAGUCGUUGCUCUGCACAGAUGUAUCAUAUGUGCCUUUAUGGUGGAAGGAUUUGGGAAUUUUAUAUGAAAAAUGUAUGGUGUUAAUAUGAAUUACCAUUGAACUGGUAUAACACAAAACCUUGGGCAUGAAUGUUGAUCAACAUAUCAGUUACAAAAAUGUGGAGUUGCUUGACCAUGGGUUCUAAAAUCUGUCCUCUACCAUCUUUCUUAUUUCUUAUUCCUCUCUUUGGGGUUAAACCUGAUGUAAAUUAAAUAUUUACCACUUGGUCAACACCUUCAUGCUAAAUUUUGGAUUUAUGAUGGUCUUGGCACUUUAUUUCUUGCUGUUGUAGGCAAAGAUCCCUGACAUUGAAAAGUGCUUAGACGUGGUUGCCCCUUUGCAAACUAAGAAGGGUACUGGUGAGUGGUGAGGCACUUAUUACUGACUUUGAAGCCUCUGAAGGCAUAUAUUAUUGGGCUCGCAUUGAGGAUAAUGACUCAGUAUGUUUAUGGCUGGGAGCAAACUUCAUGUUAGAGUAUUCAUGCCACUGCUCUUCUUCAAAAAAAUUUGGAUAAUGCUAAAGCCAGUUUAGAAGUUGUUGAUGCCAAUCUACAGUUCUUGAGAGAUCAAGCGACCAUAACUCAGUUUGACGACCAUUGAGCAGGUCACCAUUACUCGUGUGUAUAAUUGGGAUGUUCAUCGGCACAGAAUUCGACAAGCUGCUGCUGGAAAAGACUCGUGAAAUUAAAACGAUCCACCCACAUUCAGAGGUGACAAACUAUGUUUUCCUUGGAAAUGCUAUAUUACUAGGACCACUAAUAGAUUAGGAAAAAAAUAAAAAUAAAAAAUAAAAAAAGGACCACUAAUGGGCUUGAGCUGUAACAUUUGGUUUGCCCGUGAAUUUUUGGUUGGUGGAAAUGUUUUUUUUUUCUCUUUGCUUCGUGAAACUCAGUGAUAUAGUUUAGAGAUCAGCCGAACUCUAUUUGGUUUUAAGUUUUUUAAGUUCUGCUUUAGUGGUGUUGGGGGGAGAAUGAUGGGACCCAGGAAGCUCCAAUCCGAAUGUGUCGGCAAAACUUAAUCGAAUGAAGCUAUAAGGCGUCAAGAUUGCCGGGUCUGAAAUGAUGUCAGCCCAAUCUUAUCCUUCCUAAAAAGGGCCGUAGAUCUGGAUGUCUCAUAUAAUAUCCGUGAUUAGUCAGAAGGUACAUGAUGUUAACUUUGAUGUAUACUUUAGUCAGCUAACCUAAUGAUACUCUUUCACGAAGAUUUUAUUUUUUA